UCACUAAUAUUGUCCUUCCAUGUUUUAAUCUAUCUAAAUAUGUUUGGUUAUAGGUAGAGGUGAUUAUAGAAAUGGUGGCGACUAGGACAGGCAUCGAAGUGGAGCACCCAGACGUGGACGUGGGCACGGCCAAGGUGGUAGAGGAAACGACAGGCAAGAUUCAGACCGUGGCUCACAAAAGUGGGGUUCUAAGGAUGGUGAUGAUGCUGGUGGAUUUAAUCUUUGAAUUGCUGGUGGCUGAGCUAAUUAAUUUUGUAAUUCCAUUGUCAUUAGACUUGGCAUAUUUCCCAUUGCUUUGUAUGUAACACCUAGUCCAUUAAUUAUGUCAAUGUACUAUGGUAGUUUUGUUGGUCAGAAUGUUUAUAUGAUUGCCUUUACAAGAAAAUAUAAUUGCCUUUUGAAUUGAAUGGAUGAUUUUGAUUUUUGGCUCGUUUACUUUGAAUUUAAUUUAGGUUGCGUUUUUUAUAUCUGGAAACAAAUAUGUACAGUUUACAUUUGCAAUGAAGGUGCAUAUACUGGAAAAACACUGAUUGGGCGAAAAGAUGAAAUUUGGGCGUAUGGAAUUGCAGUUUACAUUUAAUUGAGGAGCCUAAACUACAAUUGAGGGUAUGAAUAAAGUCUGAGUUUAAAAAAUAAAUAAAUAAAUAAUUAUAAAAAAAUUUCUCAAAAUUUCAAAGUAAACGCGUUUUUCAGUUUUAUAUUUUCAGAAACAGUUUUCCAAAAUGACAAAGAGAACGUAUUUUCAGCAAUUUCAAAACAGGCACUCAAAACACAAGACUCAAAAUGAAUCUAAAACUCAAAAUACAAAACUGAAACACAAAGAGAACACCC
rnacentral:lncRNA from 1 species